CACGCUGUAAACGAUGAAUACUAGGUGUAGGGGGUAUCGACCCCCUCUGCGCCGCAGUCAACACAUUAAGUAUUCCACCUGGGGAGUACGGCCGCAAGGCUGAAACUCAAAGGAAUUGACGGGGACCCGCACAAGCAGUGGAGUAUGUGGUUUAAUUCGACGCAACGCGAAGAACCUUACCAGGGCUUGACAUCCCUCGCUAUCCCUCGAGAUAGGGAGUUCCCUUCGGGGACGAGGAGACAGGUGG
rnacentral:rRNA from 1 species